GAAGGAAAUUAAGUACGGAAGUUCCUGAUUUCACGCUGUCAAGAAAAGCCUCUAGGAAGAGUAGUACUGCCCGUACCGCAAACCGACACAGGUAGAUGAGGAGAGAAUCCUAAGGUGAGCGAGAGAACUCUCGUUAAGGAACUCGGCAAAAUGACCCCGUAACUUCGGGAGAAGGGGUGCUCUAUUAGGGUGCAAGCCCGAGAGAGCCGCAGUGAAUAGGCCCAGGCGACUGUUUAGCAAAAACACAGGUCUCUGCAAAACCGUAAGGUGACGUAUAGGGGCUGACGCCUGCCCGGUGCUGGAAGGUUAAGAGGAGUGCUUAGCUUCGGCGAAGGUACGAAUUGAAGCCCCAGUAAACGGCGGCCGUAACUAUAACGGUCCUAAGGUAGCGAAAUUCCUUGUCGGGUAAGUUCCGACCCGCACGAAAGGCGCAACGAUCUGGGCACUGUCUCAACGAGAGACUCGGUGAAAUUAUAGUACCUGUGAAGAUGCAGGUUACCCGCGACAGGACGGAAAGACCCCGUGGAGCUUUACUGCAACCUGAUAUGGAAUGUUUGUACCGCUUGUACAGGAUAGGUAGGAGCCGAAGAGACGUGUGCGCUAGCAUACGAGGAGG
rnacentral:rRNA from 1 species